rnacentral:rRNA from 1 species
UACGUAGGGUGCAAGCGUUGUUCGGAAUUAUUGGGCGUAAAGCGCGUGUAGGUGGCUAGUUAAGUUGGAUGUGAAAGCCCUGGGCUCAACCUAGGAAGUGCAUUCAAUACUGGCUGGCUAGAAGAUGGUAGAGGAAGGUGGAAUUCCAAGUGUAGAGGUGAAAUUCGUAGAUAUUUGGAGGAAUACCGGCGGCGAAGGCGGCCUUCUGGGCCAUUCUUGACACUGAGACGCGAAAGCGUGGGGAGCAAACAGG